rnacentral:misc_RNA from 1 species
CAAAGGUAGAGCAAAGCAGAGCAAUGGCUUCACUGGCAGCAUCAACGGCGGCUGCCUCCCUUGGCGUGUCAGAAAUGCUCGGAAACCCUCUCCGGAGUGGCGUAACGAGAUCGGCACCUCCUCCCACCGCGACAUCUAGCCCUGCCACCUUCAAGACCGUCGCACUUUUCUCCAAGAAGAAGGCUGCACCUCCCAAAAAGGCUGUCGUCUCCCCCGUUGAUGACGAGCUCGCCAAGUGGUACGGUCCCGACAGAAGAAUUUUCUUGCCGGAGGGGCUGUUGGACCGAUCAGAAAUUCCGGCAUACCUCACCGGAGAAGUCCCUGGAGAUUAUGGUUACGAUCCUUUUGGGCUUAGCAAGAAACCAGAUGACUUUGCCAAGUACCAAGCAUAUGAGCUAAUUCAUGGCAGGUGGGCAAUGUUGGG